UGUGUAUCAGUACAUAGCAUAUCAAUAAGCGGAGGAAAAGAAACUAACAAGGAUUCCCUAGUAACGGCGAGUGAAGCGGGAAGAGCUCAAAUUUGAAAUCUUAAAGGUUCUACCUUGACGAAUUGUAGUUUAUAGAAGUGUUUUCUGUUAGUAGAGUUCGGCAAAAGUUCUUUGGAAUAGGACAUCAUAGAGGGUGAGAAUCCCGUAUUUGACCGUUACUUUCCAGCUGUGUGAUACACUUUCAAAGAGUCGGAUUGUUUGGGAAUGCAGUCCAAAAUGGGUGGUAAAUUUCAUCUAAAGCUAAAUAUUGGCGAGAGACCGAUAGCGAACAAGUACCGUGAGGGAAAGAUGAAAAGAACUUUGAAAAGAGAGUUAAACAGUACGUGAAAUUGUCAAAAGGGAAGCGUUUGACACCAGUGUUGUUUAGUUGAAAAUCAAUUCAAUAAUUUUUGAUUUUGAGUAGUAUUGACUUCAUCAGCUUGCUGCUUUCUUUUCGGAAAUUAUUGAAUGCACUUUUCAGUUAACAAGUCAACAUCAAUUUCUUUUGUUGUAAAAGGGUAAGAGGAAGGUGGCUUACGCUUCGGCGUAAGUGUUUAUAGCCUUUUACCUCUGCAAUCGGAGAGAUUGAGGUCUGCAGCGUAGAUCCUUCGGGGUUAGAUACACUUGUGCUAAGCUAUAGCCUUGUAUAGACAACUUGUUGACUAUGCUCAGUCAUGUAGCUUACUCGCUUGUGCUAUUUUACCUACGCUUAGGAUGUUGACAGCAGUAUAGACUGU
rnacentral:rRNA from 1 species